GAUGAACGCUGGCGGCGUGCCUAACACAUGCAAGUCGAGCGAACGGACGAGAAGCUUGCUUCUCUGAUGUUAGCGGCGGACGGGUGAGUAACACGUGGAUAACCUACCUAUAAGACUGGGAUAACUUCGGGAAACCGGCGCUAAUACCGGAUAAUAUUUUGAACCGCAUGGUUCAAAAGUGAAAGACGGUCUUGCUGUCACUUAUAGAUGGAUCCGCGCUGCAUUAGCUAGUUGGUAAGGUAACGGCUUACCAAGGCAACGAUGCAUAGCCGACCUGAGAGGGUGAUCGGCCACACUGGAACUGAGACACGGUCCAGACUCCUACGGGAGGCAGCAGUAGGGAAUCUUCCGCAAUGGGCGAAAGCCUGACGGAGCAACGCCGCGUGAGUGAUGAAGGUCUUCGGAUCGUAAAACUCUGUUAUUAGGGAAGAACAUAUGUGUAAGUAACUGUGCACAUCUUGACGGUACCUAAUCAGAAAGCCACGGCUAACUACGUG
rnacentral:rRNA from 1 species